rnacentral:rRNA from 1 species
UACAGAGGGGGCAAGCGUUGUUCGGAAUCACUGGGCGUAAAGGGCUCGUAGGUGGCCAACUAAGUCAGACGUGAAAUCCCUCGGCUUAACCGGGGAACUGCGUCUGAUACUGGAUGGCUUGAGUUCGGGAGAGGGAUGCGGAAUUCCAGGUGUAGCGGUGAAAUGCGUAGAUAUCUGGAGGAACACCGGUGGCGAAGGCGGCAUCCUGGACCGAUACUGACGCUGAGGAGCGAAAGCCAGGGGAGCAAACGGG